GAAAUAUAGAGGCUGUUGCUGGUCCCUCCUUGGGACAUGUGCACGCUUUUCUUUUCAAUUUUUCCAACUGUGCACGUAUUGUAGACCUGGAGGCUUUUUAUCGUUGGAAUAGAUUGAGGACUGCUCUUGUGGCUUUGCCUUGCAUUUCCAGGUCUAUGUUAAACACAUUUCACACAAAUGAAUGUCGAAAUAUGGAAUAAUAUAUAUACAACUUUCAGCAACGGAUCUCUUGGCUCU
rnacentral:misc_RNA from 1 species